rnacentral:rRNA from 1 species
AUUGAACGCUGGCGGCAGGCCUAACACAUGCAAGUCGAACGAGUGGCGGACGGGUGAGUAAUGUCUGGGAAACUGCCCGAUGGAGGGGGAUAACUACUGGAAACGGUAGCUAAUACCGCAUACCAUCGGAUGUGCCCAGAUGGGAUUGGCUAGGAGGUGGGGUAACGGCUCGCCUAGGCGACGAUCCCUAGCUGGUCUGAGGGGAUGACCGGCCACACUGGAGCGGUGACAGGGUCCAGGGGCCUACGGGAGGCAGCAGGGGCGAAUAGUGCACAGUGGGCGCAAGCCUGAUGCAGCCAUGCCGCGUGUAUGAAGAAGGCCUUCGGGUUGUAAAGUACGUUCAGCGAGGAGGCGUUACUCGCAGAAGAAGCACCGGCUAACUCCGUGCCAGCAGCCGCGGUAAUAC